GGUACCGUCAUUAUCUUCCCUAGCGAAAGAGUUUUACAACCCUAAGGCCUUCUUCACUCACGCGGCAUGGCUGGAUCAGGCUUGCGCCCAUUGUCCAAUAUUCCCC
rnacentral:rRNA from 1 species